UACGGGGGGGGUAAGCGUUGUUCGGAAUUACUGGGCGUAAAGGGCUCGUAGGCGGCCAACUAAGUCAGACGUGAAAUCCCUCAGCUUAACUGGGGAACUGCGUCUGAUACUGGAUGGCUUGGAUUCGGGAGAGGAAUGCGGAAUUCCGGGUGUAGCGGUGAAAUGCGUAGAUAUCUGGAGGAACACCGGUGGCGAAGGCGGCAUUCUGGACCGAUAUUGACGCUGAGGAGCGAAAGCCAGGGGAGCAAACGGG
rnacentral:rRNA from 1 species